rnacentral:snoRNA from 1 species
UGGACAUUUAUCCUUACUCAAUUUCUUCUCAAGGUGAAUAUAACUCUUUAUAAAUAUCCUAUAGAAAUAUAGUAACUUUCUGUAGACCCUUUGCAAGUAAAAAGGGUGGAUCAUUCUACUAUUGACACUU